GGGCCUGUAGCUCAGCUGGGAGAGCGCUAGAAUCGCACUCUAGAGGUCACCGGUUCGAUCCCGGUCAGGUCCACCA
rnacentral:tRNA from 5 species